CAGUGUAUGAAUGUGACAGUUAUUGAGUCAAACGGUGUAGGAAUGUGACAGUUAUUGGGUCUGAUGGUGUAUGACUGUGAUAGUUAUUGGGUCAGACUGUGUAUGAAUAUGGCAGUUAUUGGGUCAGACAGUGUAUGAAUGUGACAGUUAUUGAGUCAGACGGUGUAUGAAUGUGACAGUUAUUGGGUCGUACGGUGUAUGAAUGUGACAGUUAUUGGGUCAGACAGUGUAUGAAUGUGACAGUUAUUUGGUCUGAUGGUGUAUGACUGUGAUAGUUAUUGGGUCAGACUGUGUAUGAAUGUGACAGUUAUUGGAUCAGACGGUGUAUGAAUGUGAGUUUUUAGGUCGGACAGUGUAUGAAUGGUACAGUUAUUGGGUCAGACGGUGUUUGAAUGUGACAGUUCUUGGGUCUGACGGUGUAUGAAUGUGACAGUUAUUG